rnacentral:rRNA from 1 species
ACUCCAUGAAGCUGGAUUCGCUAGUAAUCGCGCAUCAGCCACGGCGCGGUGAAUACGUUCCCGGGCCUUGUACACACCGCCCGUCAAGCCAUGGGAGCCGGGAGUGCCUGAAGUACGUGACCGCAAGGAGCGUCCUAGGGUAAGACCGGUGACUGGGGCUAAGUCGUAACAAGGUACC